GAGUUUGAUCUUGGCUCAGAUUGAACGCUGGCGGCAUGCCUUACACAUGCAAGUCGAACGGCAGCACGGGAGCUUGCUCCUGGUGGCGAGUGGCGAACGGGUGAGUAAUGCAUCGGAACGUAUCCUGGAGUGGGGGAUAACGUAGCGAAAGUUACGCUAAUACCGCAUAUUCUGUGAGCAGGAAAGCGGGGGACCUUCGGGCCUCGCGCUCUUGGAGCGGCCGAUGUCGGAUUAGCUAGUUGGUGAGUAAAGGCUCACCAAGGCGACGAUCCGUAGCAGGUCUGAGAGGAUGAUCUGCCACACUGGAACUGAGACACGGUCCAGACUCCUACGGGAGGCAGCAGU
rnacentral:rRNA from 1 species